UAUUUAUAGAAACCAGAAACGCGGUUCAUUUUUAUCGAUCGAUUUGCGUUGUAUUGUAGCGCUAAGAUAAAUUAUAUAUACUGCUUUAGUAAAAAUAGUUAAAAUGUUAAAUAUUCAUAAAAAUGAAGUUUGUGAUUAAUGUGAUUCACUUACAAUAUCAGAGAAUAAUUACUUUAUAGUUUGAUAUUGGCCGUCUUAAAAUCACGAAAUAAUGGAUUGGAUCAUUUCGGACGAAUUAGGGCUUACUGUGGGCCAUCUGGUAGGUUGGGUAGCAGCUGGUGCUAUGAUAGUAGGUGGCGUCGCCCCUUACAUCCCACAGUACUGGCAAAUCAAGAGAACACAAGAUGCUGAAGGAUUCUCUUUAUACGUUUGUUUAACUCUACUAAUAGCAAAUACAUUGAGGAUAUUGUUUUGGUUUGGUAAACGCUAUGAGACUCCUCUAUUAAUCCAAAGUAUAGUAAUGAAUGUCACAAUGUUUGUGAUGAUACACCUCUGUGUCAAUGUACGAAAAAAGAACCAAAUUAUUAGAGCUAGAGAGAGAAUAUUCACAGGUGCAAUAUUCAUGUUAUAUAUACUGUUGUGUUGUGUAAACGGCUCAGACCAGCCGGAUCAAACUGCACGCUGGCUGAAUCAGCGCAGCAGCAUCAGUGGUGGGGAGAAGCCACAUCGCUUCUAUGAUAUGGAAAGGAAGUACUUCUGGGCCUGGACAGACUUCCAGAGCUAUAUAGACUGUAUGCUGGUGUUCUCGGUACUAGGAGGAGCGGUAACCUACCUGCUAAUAGAGUUCUCACCAUUCGUGGAACUUAUUGGGUUUCUUGCUCUAUUCACCGAGGCCAUGCUUGGUGCACCUCAGAUAGCCAGAAAUCAUAAGAAUAAAAGUACUGAGGGCAUGAGUGUUAGCAUGGUGAUAAUGUGGACGUGUGGUGAUUUGUUCAAGACUGCAUACUUCGUUUUAAGAAAAGCGCCUCCUCAGUUUUGGUUGUGUGGGGGCCUUCAAGUCUCAUUAGAUAUCGUAAUACUCUCUCAAAUGGUCAGGUGAUGACACUCUGACGAUAUCGGUUCGCAUGUGGGAGCCCAGCCUUCCGAUAUUCAGUCCUCGCUUUAGCAACGGGUUACCUACCUGUAAAGGGUGUGGUGGUACCGCCACAACACCGCGGCGGCCAGACGGGUGCGUCGGGGCGACUAGCAAUGGACAGAGACCGACUUAUAGCACCAGCCGGCCGAGGCCCGGCCGUCCAACGCAAUCAGGACGUCCGUCGCCUCCAUCGCCUUCUGUGCCCCAUACUCGGUACUCUGCCUUCCCUACAUAUUAUGACGAUAAUCUCCAUAAUAUUAUCACGGGUUGUGUGAAAGUACUCUCCAACUGAAAGUUGAUAUUAAACCCAAGCGAUGACCAAAAUACAUGGUGCGAACUGAUAUUGGACAUUUUAACGAAAACUGUUAAUCGAAUUAGACAUUUAUUACGUUCUAGUGGUUGCAAUAAUUCCUUAGGUAGACGGUGCUAUAGGUUUGUGCCUAAAUUAAUACCAACGAGGGUCAUGAAAGAAGUUGUAAUGAUGAUGAUUUAUUGUUUUUAUAAUGGUGAAAUAGUCAUCGAUAUCGAUAGUAGGUAUAUACAAUUAGAGUGACCAAAAUGUUUCCUUGUCUUUGUAAGGUGAUAAACUAGUCCUAAACGAUUAGACUCAUUGUAAGUCUAAAAAUGCUUGGUAGGUUUUAAAUAUUAAUAGUAAUGUGGAUAGCCAAAUGCAAAAGAUACAAGAGUAAAUAAAAUUGUCAUAAUUUACACGCAAUAUUAGUACAAGCAAGCAUUUUUAGCGUAGCAAGACGGGUUGUUGACGACAGCAAUAAUUCUCAAAAGUGUUGCUUAUAUUAAAGUACAAUACAUGUUAUAUUUUAAAUACCUACUUUAUGUAUAGCAUCUAUAUAAUUUUAUUACAUUUGUUAACAAAGUGAGAAGUAUGCCCCAACAAGGAUACUACCAAAGGGCUUCUAUAGACAUUAAUAUUAUUGUACAUUGGAAUUUGUAAAUAUUUGUUUACGAUAAGACGUCAAAUAAUGUACUGUGCAUAGUGAUGCCAGUUAUAGGGUACAAUGAAGCUUAGAUUCUAACUUCCGUAAAAAUGCCAAUUUAGAUAAAAAUACAUAAAUAUACAAGAGAUAUUAUUGUGAUAUAUUUAUCUUAUAACAAUUUAUUAAUGCAUCCCCAAGGAACCAACAUUUUUAAUAUAGCAUGAUUUCAAGUUUUAUCUUAUAAUUUGGGGACAGGCGUAUUUUGCAGUGGAACUAUUUAGUAAACGCGAUUUUCGUAAUAGUAAGUCUACAGUUUCUGCUUUUAUAACGAGGUAUCACGAAAUAUUUACAUUCCUCGAUAUUUUAUUCCAUUUUACCUUUUUGGUAUGUGUACACGAAUACAUUUGUGACGUAGGUAUAUAAUUCCGAGUUCUUUUCUAAAAACACGUUCCAAUAUCUUCUGAUAGUGCUUCUACAUAACUAUUUUGUAACUAAUAAAAUAGCUAUGACUGUAAAAAUUCUUCCUAUAUCAUGUUAAGUGUUAGUUAAAAUUUUUUGGCUUUCGAUGUGUUUUUUAAUAUUCCAAAUUUAAAUUUUAUUAAAAAAAUAAAUUUUUACAUCUGCACAGACCAGUAAGUGCACUCACUUUAAUAAAAUAUAAAAAUAAUUGUGACUUGUGUAUAAUCCCUUUUGUGAAUACUAUUACUAUGUACCGAAUAAUUAUUUUUACGUAAUGUGUACUAUUUCAAGGGUUGUAUCGUGUAAUUAAUGGAUUGUUUAAUAAUUAAAUUUCAUAUUUUAGUAUUUAAAGUGAUGUUAAAUUAUGCUAUGGUUACUUUCAAAGCGUUGUUACACAUUCAUCAAACUUUAUUGCGACUCAUUAUAACUUUUAUUCAUUUCUUAAUAAAGUAUAAACUUAUAAAGUAUUAUUGUCGAUGCAUGUAUUAGUUUUAACAGUCAUCUAUCACCACUGUGUACAAAUUGUAGUAUUUUUAGUACCAUUACGUUAUUGUGAAUGUAUAAAUUAUAAACUAUGAAUCCUAAAUAUUGCGUAGAUUAGAUAAAUAUUUAAAGGGUGCUCUGUUUUACUAAAACUAUUCAUGCAUGUCUCUUGUAAAUCCAUUAGUCUAAUAAUAGAUAGAUUUAGUAUAAUAAAAAUAUUUAAUUAAUCACAAUUUACCUCAAAAGCAUUAGUGAGCCUGUCUUCUAAACAUUCGAUAUAGUUGAGGAUCCCUUCUAAGUCAGGUGGGAGCCAUCCAAAGCAUAAUAGAAAGUUAGUGCUGCGUGUACCUUAACACUCAUCCCUAUGUUUUUAAAAAAGUCAUUGACAAAAUAUAAUAUAAGCUAUGAAAAUUAUCACAUUUUCAAAAAACAAACUUACAGUGAUAUUAGACGCAGUACUCUGUUAUAUUAUAUAGAAAGUGCAUACUUCCUGCAAACAUUUGCAUUCAACAAUUUAUAAUGAUUUUAAUGGAACAUGCCACUUCUAUUGUGUGUUAGAUAUAUCAAGUUAACAGUAAUAAUUAGCAAUAUUUCACGAGGAAUUGAUUCAGUAAAUAACAAAACCACGUUACAUAGGAUCUUUUUGUACAAUAGACAAAGUACAUACGAAGUUGUAAAUAUUAUUAUAUUCAUAUUGAUUAGUUACUAAGAGCUACAGAAUGCAGACUCUUGUAGUCUGUUAGUUUAUUCAGGUUCGCGUCGAACUAAGUAAGAUGUGUACUUUAUGGAUAAUAAUUCCGCCACACGUGUCUGUUGUCUGGUGGCGGGGGGCCUCCAAGUAAUGCUUCCGCCAGUUGUUGAAAUAUACGUAUAAUUAUUUUUAUACAUAAACUCGACAUAUUUGCUUCUUGUAGACAGAACAGUAUAAAUGAAGGUAUAAAAGUAACUAUGAUAUUCGUACAUACAAGUCGAGAGAUAGUAGACGUGAAGGAACAUAUCAUAUUUAUAUUGAUAUACAUGUUAUUAUUUCUGUUGUAUGAAUAUAUAAAUGUAUUUGUAUUUGUCAAUUAAUAUUAAGUAUGUAAAUGAAUGAAAUUGAAGUAACCAUCGUAUGUUGUGAUGACAAAAUGUACAUGGAUAUGUUGUGAUUUUAUGAGUUACAUUUUCUUAAAUGAAAUAAAGUUAUAUUAUUUGUUAAAACUCU